rnacentral:lncRNA from 1 species
GAUUUUUCUCCCUGUCACUUCUUUCUCUUGACGGAGGUUGUCACAGAGGCAGGAGCUGGAGAGGACUAGGAAGAUCUUCUCUGCAUUGCCACACUCUCCCUAACCUUGCUAGGAGUUAACACUGGGCCCCCCACUCCCAGUCAUCUCAACCAAGAUCAUCAAGCUUCUUGGAAAUCUCAGGAGACUGAAAUUCUUGCUUAGCAUCCUUAUAUUGCCAUGAUUCUCUUUCUGACUAAAGAUCUCAACCUUGAUGUCUAUUUACACAAAAACAAAUCUAAGGUAGCAGCAAGAUAAGCAUGGAUGGGGAAGAUGCUAGCAACUGUGACAACCAGGACCAAAGAUGGAAAUUGCCUGGCCAAAUCCUCCAUGCAGAGCUUGAGUCCUGGAAAUUUCAGGUGCCAGGUAUGGAGCAUUCAAAUGAAAAAGUCACCGAGUCAUAGUCAUACAAACAUCACAGCUGAGCUUUGAACUCAGAUGUCCCUGGUACAAUUACAACUGUACUACGCUUCCAGUGAAGGUGAGGUUUUGAUUUGUGCUCUAAGUAUAGG